UAGGGAAUCUUCGGCAAUGGACGGAAGUCUGACCGAGCAACGCCGCGUGAGUGAAGAAGGUUUUCGGAUCGUAAAGCUCUGUUGUAAGAGAAGAACGAGUGUGAGAGUGGAAAAUUCACACUGUGACGGUAUCUUACCAGAAAGGGACGGCUAACUACGUGCCAGCAGCCGCGGUAAUACGUAGGUCCCGAGCGUUGUCCGGAUUUAUUGGGCGUAAAGCGAGCGCAGGCGGUUAGAUAAGUCUGAAGUUAAAGGCUGUGGCUUAACCAUAGUACGCUUUGGAAACUGUUUAACUUGAGUGCAAGAGGGGAGAGUGGAACUCCAUGUGUAGCGGUGAAAUGCGUAGAUAUAUGGAGGAACACCGGUGGCGAAAGCGGCUCUCUGGCUUGUAACUGACGCUGAGGCUCGAAAGCGUGGGGAGCAAACAGGAUUAGAUACCCUGGUAGUCCACGCCGUAAACGAUGAGUGCUAGGUGUUAGACCCUUUCCGGGGUUUAGUGCCGCAGCUAACGCAUUAAGCACUCCGCCUGGGGAGUACGACCGCAAGGUUG
rnacentral:rRNA from 1 species